AUGUCUGAUUUAUUCAUUGGUUUUCUUGUCUGUUGUCUGUCCCCACCGGGGACAGGGACUGGUCACUCAUGUUCAUCCGGCAGACCGGACACUUCGUGGAGGACUCCAAAGCUGGCACAUUCCAGGGCCUCCUCUGUCUCUUCCAGGCCCUGUGUGUUGCGGGAGAAAUCAGAAUCUAAGGAGUCAGAAUGUAAGGUUCCUGUUGGAACCCAGGCUCCAGGGUCCCUGGUUUUCUGUGACAUCAUGCUGCAAGACCCUGUUUCUCUCUUUGCUUUGGCUGCUGGGUAGCUCAGAAGGGAGCUCUAGGCUUACCCUCAGCCACCACAUUAGCUCAGGGGUUUGGGCAUUUUUGUCGCUGGCUCCUUUGGGCUCUUUGUCCUCCCUGCUGUGCUUCCCGAGGAACAGGCCGGAUGUAAGUUAU
rnacentral:lncRNA from 1 species